rnacentral:tRNA from 1 species
AAGGGAGACCUAAUUCAGGUAUGGGACGAAAAAAAAGUAGUCGCUACCAAGAAUCAAUCCCAAAAGGUCGGAGCGAGGUAUGAGGCUUUCAAACUAGGUUCUGGGUUCAAACAAGACCUGAAUCAGGAACAAGGGCUAUUAGCUCAGGUGGUUAGAGCGCACCCCUGAUAAGGGUGAGGUCCCUGGUUCGAGUCCAGGAUGGCCCACCUGCACAGGUGGCAAAAACAAGAGAAGCUCCGAAUCAGCACCUUAUCUUAUCUAUAUAUUAGAGAGAAUGCUGGCUCUGAGUAAAGAGUCCAGAGGAACCUUGAAAACUGCAUAGAGCUAGGUGAAAAAGCCAAAAAAGAAGACCGCAA